rnacentral:rRNA from 1 species
AUGGGAAACGGGUUAAUAUUCCCGUACUUGGUGUUACUGCGAAGGGGGGACGGAGAAGGCUAUGUUGGCCGGGCGACGGUUGUCCCGGUUUAAGCGUGUAGGUGUGUGUUCCAGGUAAAUCCGGUUCACUUUAACACUGAGGCGUGACGACGAGGCACUACGGUGCUGAAGCAACAAAUGCCCUGCUUCCAGGAAAAGCCUCUAAGCAUCAGGUAACAUCAAAUCGUACCCCAAACCGACACAGGUGGUCAGGUAGAGAAUACCAAGGCGCUUGAGAGAACUCGGGUGAAGGAACUAGGCAAAAUGGUGCCGUAACU